CAGGGGGUGCAAACGUUGCUCGGAAUCGAGUUGGGCGUAAAGCGCACGUAGGCGGUUACUUAUGUCGGAUGUGAAAGCCCUUGGCUCAACUGAGGAAGUGCAUCCGAAACUGAGUAGCUUGAGUACGAAAGAGGGUCGCGGAAUUCCCGGUGUAGAGGUGAAAUUCGUAGAUAUCGGGAGGAACACCGGUGGCGAAGGCGGCGACCUGGGUCGAGACUGACGCUGAGGUGCGAAAGCGUGGGGAGCAAACAGGGAUUAGAUACCCUGGUAGUCCACGCCGUAAACGAUGGAUGCUAGAUGUUUCUGGUAUUGACCCCGGAGCGUCGUAGCUAACGCGUUAAGCAUCCCGCCUGGGGAGUACGGCCGCAAGGCUA
rnacentral:rRNA from 1 species